rnacentral:miRNA from 1 species
UCUGUGUUUCCAUCAAUUACUUUCUGUUCCAGUUUAUAUAUAUAUAUAUAUAUAUAUAUAUAUAUAUAUAUAUAUAUAUAUAUAUAUAUAUAUAUAUAUAUAAACUGGAACAGAAAGUAAUUGAUGGAAACACAGA